rnacentral:lncRNA from 1 species
CCCGCCCAUGCAAAACAAUAACUUUGUCGCAUAAGUUGUUUGCCUUCACAAUUUCAUUCGCCUGGUGAACCAUAAAAAACAGUGUAAAAUGAAAUUCAAGUUCAAUUAUUUCACAUAGUUCCUGUAGAAAAAAGACAGUGGAAGACAUCUUAGGAAUGUCCAGCUACUAGAGUGUUUCCCUCCAUCUAUUAUGGUUUGAAUAAUGUUUACACAUUUUUUUUUUUUGAGAAGGUAACAUUUGUAUUUCUAUUUCCAAAAAAUCAAAACCUGCCACAACAUGUUACAGAUUCCUAAUUACAGAUUAAAGAGAGUAUAACAGAAGAUCUUCAAUCCUAUGACAAAAUUUACAAAAAUUACAGGGAUCCUAAGUCAUUCAUAACUGAUUCUAGAUCUUCCAUAUACUCCUGUUUACACCAAAAAUGAAAUAACACAAGACAAUUCAUCUUCAUCUUCUGAAUAGUGUUGCUCUUGUUCUGAUGACAUCUAAGGUUCCUUUCUUUCCACGUUGACCACCAAAUACAAGCUGGGAUGAUUUUCCAUCUCUCCCUAUGUCCUGAGAUGUUGGCAUAACUACUCCAUAAUGUUUACACAUUUUUAGUAGGAAAGGAUAGACAAUUGCAGGAAUUUCAAAGCCUCAAAGGUUCGCUCUAAGUGGCAUCAAUGGAAGUAAAGAAAAUUAACGUAAUAGUACUUUUAGAGUGAUCUAAAUCAGCAGCAUAAACAAGAUUUUUUGUAAGUGGUAUCAACAUUUCUAGAAGUGAAAAAACAUUCAUAUUUAUAACUUUUGCAAACAUAGAGGAUCCUUGGCCCAAUGGUUUUUGUUGAAUCUUAAGCUAGAACAGGUGUAGCUUAAC